UGCCAGGUUUAACUUGGGACUGCUGGUCUGCCGUUGGUGUUUGGAAUUUAGGGUUGGAGAGGCAGGGAGUCCAAGAGAAGGCACUGGAUCCAACUGUCCUUCAGUCAGGAGGAACCCUUUAAAAGGUAGGAGCUGGCCUCCCACAUUAAACCAUCAUAGUACAGACACCGUCAUCAAUGGAAACAGAAUUAAGGACUCAUGGAAUCCACACUCCUACAGACCUCAAAACACACGCCUUGGAGAAAGAAAAGCAAAUAGUGCUGUUCCAGCUGGCUAGCUAGAAGCAGAAGAAUGAAACUGGAUCCUGUCUCUCCCUCUGCACAGAAGUCAACUUCAAAUGCAUCAAGGACCUCAACCCAAGGCCUGCUACCCUGAACUUGACGGAGGAGAAAGUAAGGAAUGUACUUCAGCUUAUAGGCACAUAAUGGACUUUCUGAAUAGGAGUUGAGUAGCAGAAGCAUGAAGACUAACACUUGACACGUGGGGCUUUGUGUAAAUUUGCAAAGGAAAUGUAAGCAUCCAGCAGAAUGGAUGGGGGAGUCUUUACUCUCUAUACAUCUGAAAGAUAAUUACUACUUACAAGAUACAAAGGACUCAAAAAAAUUAAAUACCCAUAAACAAGCCAAUUUCAAAAGUAGGCUAUGUAAUGGAACAGUGAGAAGAGAAGGAGGAAGGGGAGGAGAGGAGAGGAGGAGGGGGAUGAGGAGGAAGGGGAAGAGGAAGAAGAAGGAGGAAGAGGAGGAGGAGAGAGAAGAAGAAGCUGAGAAAUAUUUUUUAAAAUGUUCACAGCCUUUAGCCAUCAGGAAGAUGUGUAUACUUGAAAUUUCAUCUCACCCCAGUUGGGAUGGCUUUGAUUAAUAACAUAGAUAAAAACCAAUGCUGGUGAGGAUGUCCGGAAAGGGCAAUUCUCAUUCAUUUCCGGUGGGAAUGCCAACUGGUGCAGCUACUAUGGAAACCAAUUUGUCAGCACCUCAAAAAACUAGAAAUAGAACUACCAUAUAUGACCCAGCUAUACCUCUCCUGGGCCUGUACUCAAAGGACUGUAUUUCCUACUAUGGAGAUAUAUGCUCAUUUAUGUCCAAUUGCUGCUUUGUUCACAGUAGCCAGAUGUAAUGGUUAGUGAAACUGCUGUACAGAUGUGCAAUGGAACAUUACCCAGCUGUAAACAAAUGGCAGCUAUUCAGUUUUCAGGCAAAUGGAUGAAACUUGAAAACAUUACACUGAAUGAGGUAACCCAAACCCAGAAAGAUAAACGUUUCAUGUUCUUCCUCA